rnacentral:rRNA from 1 species
GACGAAGGAUGCAAGCGUUAUCCGGAUUCACUGGGUUUAAAGGGUGCGUAGGUGGGAAUGUAAGUCAGUGGUGAAAUCUCUGAGCUUAACUCAGAAACUGCCAUUGAUACUAUGUUUCUUGAAUUUUCUGGAGGUCAGCGGAAUAUGUCAUGUAGCGGUGAAAUGCUUAGAUAUGACAUAGAACACCAAUUGCGAAGGCAGCUGGCUACAGGGAUAUUGACACUGAGGCACGAAAGCGUGGGGAUCAAACAGG